UACAUGGGGUGCAAACGUUGCUCGGAAUUAUUGGGCGUAAAGCGCACGUAGGCGGUUUGUUAAGUCGGAUGUGAAAUCCCUCGGCUCAACUGAGGAAGUGCAUCCGAAACUGGCAAGCUUGAGUACGAAAGAGGAUCGCGGAAUUCCCGGUGUAGAGGUGAAAUUCGUAGAUAUUAGGAAGAACACCGGUGGCGAAGGCGGCCAUCUGGCUCGGUACUGACGCUCAGGCGCGAAAGCGUGGGGAGCAAACAGG
rnacentral:rRNA from 1 species